rnacentral:rRNA from 1 species
GUAGGGAAUAUUGGGCAAUGGAUGCAAGUCUGACCCAGCCAUGCCGCGUGGAGGAAGAAGGUCCUCUGGAUUGUAAACUCCUUUUUUGGGGGAAGAAUAGUUCUCUUGCGAGGGAAUGUGACGGUACCCUAAGAAUAAGCCACGGCUAACUACGUGCCAGCAGCCGCGGUAAUACGUAGGUGGCAAGCGUUGUCCGGAUUUAUUGGGUUUAAAGGGUGCGUAGGUGGUUUGAUAAGUCAGUGGUGAAAGCUGGUUGCUCAACAAUCAAGUUGCCAUUGAUACUGUCUGACUUGGGAGAAGUAGAGGUUCAUGGAAUGGAUGGUGUAGCGGUGAAAUGCAUAGAUAACAUCCAGAACGUCGAUUGCGAAGGCAGUGGGCUGUACUUUAUCUGACACUGAGGCACGAAAGUGUGGGGGUCAAACAGGAUUAGAAACCCUCC